CUGCUUCCCAUAGAAGUUUUCUGUUCCUUGGAAAGGGAAGUUACUCUGCUGGAAACAGGCUUCUGAGAUGUAAUUAAAGAGCUGUCUGAAGAGCUUACUGGAUGCUUAAGUCUGAGCUAACUCAUUUCUUCUGGAUGCAAGCUGAAGAAUCUUCAUACUAAUGAUAGGUCGCAGUGCAAACUGGAACUGAUGUUUGUGUAAGAGCAAACAGCUCGUUCAUGUGUGAC